rfam:Triticum aestivum genome assembly, contig: Triticum_aestivum_CS42_TGACv1_scaffold_591940_7BS
UGUGCACUCCCUCCGUUACAAAAUACUUGACUUCCAUUUGUCCAAAAAUGGAUGUGCCUAUAUACUAAAAAAUUUCUAGAUACAUCUAUAUUUUGACAAAUAGAAGGCAUGUAUUGUGGAACGGUGGGAGUAGAAU